rnacentral:misc_RNA from 1 species
AUACGUAGGAAGAAGAAUUGACUUGAAGACCCAUUUUUCAGUCAGCAUUAAAAACAUAGUAGGAAAUUUAGUUGUAAAAAAGCUAUGUUUUCAUCUGUUUUUUUUUUUUUGCUAUGCACAUACACAUCAUGUUCUCAAAUCCGCAAAGAUAGUCGACACAGAAUGUGGUGAAUGUUGCUUAGGGAGUGGCCCCAAAAUAUCCAAUUGUAAUAGCCGGGGUUAUGGCAAACUGAUGCUUAAACAAGCGCAUGUUUUUCUUUUUCAAACCUGAGUUGUUUCAGAUUGUAACUGCCCUUCUAUAUUGACAAGGCAUACAAGUACAUGUUAUGGGCUUUGUCACUUGUCUCCCACAGAUUUAGUGGAUGUUCUUAAUCAUGUCAGCCA